rnacentral:lncRNA from 1 species
GGGAAAAGGCAAACCGCGCAGGGCGGAGCUGUGAAUCUGCGCUCUUCGCAGCGGGAUGGUCUGCAGGUGGCCUUUUUAGGAGAGGGCCGGGCGCAGUCCAAGCAAGCCCACCAUGAUCACCCGGAGGUCUGGGCCAGGGUGGGUUCAGCGGGGAUCGGUGGGGAGCGAGGAGGUGCCAGGAGGUUGGGGAAGAAAGGAGAGGGGGUGGCCCUUGAAGCCCCCAGCUCUUGCCUGGGCCUCACGCUGAGGAGGGUGUGUGGAGUGGAGCCUGGGAGGCUUGGGGGCCAGAGGUGGGGGCCGGCCAGCCGAGGGCUCUGGGGCUGGAGCUGGCCUGGGAGAUCAGUCAGGGACUCCACCUCACUGGGCUGCCCCUUGCAGAAUCCACACAGGCGACAGACCCUACAAGUGCCCACAUCCUGGCUGCGAAAAGGCUUUCACUCAGCUCUCCAACCUCCAGUCUCACCAGCGCCAGCACAACAAGGACAAGCCCUACAAGUGUCCCAACUGCUACCGGGCCUACUCGGACUCAGCCUCCCUGCAGAUCCACCUCUCAGCCCACGCCAUCAAGCACGCCAAGGCCUACUGCUGCAGCAUGUGCGGGCGGGCCUACACCUCGGUGAGUGCCAGUCUCCCGGGAGCCUCUCCCUCUCCCGGCCUCCUCACAUCUGUGCUGAUGCUCCCAUUUUCCAGGCAAGGAAACUGAGGCCAGAGAAGGGCAGUGACUCCCCAAGAUCACAGUGAGUGGCUGAGCCAGGGCUUCUCCUUCCUGGCUCUUGGCUGCUUCCGGUUGAGCUACCUCUAGGCAGCCUUUAGACUGGGUGUAGGAGUCUUGGUUUAUUCUGGGCAGUGGUGGGGAGCCUGGCACCCCUGCUCCCCAGAGCCAGGGAGAGAGAAGGGCCUUUCACCACUGAGGAAGCUGCAGCCCCCAUCAUGGCCACAAGGUGGCACCAUGACCUGGCCCAGAGUCACCCUCAUCUCCCAGGAAAGGCUCCAACAGGGCAAGAAAGAUGCCAGCCUCCUGUCCUUAGGUGGGAAUUUCCCUAAACAAGGGCCUUGCAGACCCAGAAGAGGGAGUCCAGGUGAGAUACCUGUUGAUGUGCUUCUGGCUAAUCAAAGAUUCUGGUUAACAGACCCCACGUAUACCUAGACAGAGAUCCCCGAGCCUCAGUUUCCUCAUCUGUAAAGAGGAGGAGGUCAUAGCUCUUCACCCAUAGGGCUGCUGGCUGGCAGAGUCAGUGUCUGACAAACCUUAGCUAACACAAUUAUUUAUUCACCCAGUGUUUACUGAACGCUUGUACCCGGCACUCAGGAAUCAGGAUGCAUCAAACAGACAUAUUCUUUGCCCCUGGGGAGGUUGGAAUCUGCUGCUAGAGACAGAUAUUGAACAAGUAACCACACAAAUAAAUAUGUAAUGACAAAUUGUGGCA